AAUCUCAUUCAUCGCUUGUAUCAGUUUCUCGAUCUUCAAAUCGACGGUCUCGAUUGCAUCGAUCGAAUGCAAUGGAGGUCCGGUUGUUGUGGACAUGGAUGGAGUAAGUACUCUUUUCAUGCACUUGCCUAGCACGUGGCAAAGAGGCACACGUGUGUGAGGCGGGAGCCGUUUAUCGGGCUGUCCCCACCGUGUAGAUGCAAAAACCAGGCUGUUCUGAUAAUCGGGUGGAUCGUGGCCCACCUGAUGAUCGGAUGUUUUCAAGAUCGGCACCGCUCAUUUUGCAGUUUGACUGUGUAGAUGCAGCAUCUGAAAAGCCGAUUGAUCUGAUCAUCAAGGGGCCCACAUGAUCAAUGGUCCGCACUGUGCAAUUGUUGAUCAGAUCUGUUUAUACAUGGUGAGGAUCGCCUUACGAGGAGCUGGUAGCUACCAUCGGACCCAUGCCUGCGUUGUUGCUGAGUUGCAGUUGUUCCUGCUCACUUAGCUUUCACCAUUGCCAAAUUGGUCGGUUUUGAUUAUCGAUCUGGACUGUCCAUUUGGUCUAUCUCAAUCUUCAUGGACCACCAUUGCAAAACCACAUCAAUCGGAUGGUUUUGUAAUUCCGGUUGAUGGGUUAAAAAGGAAUGGCUUGGAUUUCUCUGUCUGGGGUAUUUUUUCGAUCAAACAAUCCAGACCAUCUGUUUUGUAGCUUGGAAAAUGGAUAGUCAUAAAAUGAAGCGGUUGAUUGACGGGUUUUGAUAGGAUAUGCCUGCUUACCAUAUCACAGCUACCUUACUGGGGCAACUUGAUAGCUGUUGGCAUUUGAAUUUAAUGAUAUCAUGAAAUUUCAUUAUAUUUGGUGCAAGGAAAUGCAGCCUAUAAAGCAUUUGAAUUGCAGCAAUAGCAUUGCUAUGUGAUUGUCUUGAUUCUACUAUUGGGGAAUCUGAUCUAUUAUGAACUAGUAAGCUGAGCAUGUGAAAUAAUUUUGAAGUAGGGUAGCUUGUAAGCUGUAAUUAGGGUGGCAACUAGGCUGGCUGGAGUCGGAGUGUUGAGGUCUAUUGUGUUUGAACUGGGUUUUUGGUCCAAUGACCAAUUUGGCUUUACUUGCCCUUGCAUUUGCCCUAAGGUCCGACAAGUGGGCCAGGCAUAGCUUGACUUGCUUUACAUAGGUGGGUUAAGCAUUUGGCCACUAGACUGCUUGGUUCAAGCCAGAUUUGUUAGCUCAUGGGCUUGGCUGUCCCAGGCUUGGACUCAGGUCGAUAUGUCAUUGAGCAGGCUUGAAUAUGCUUCAGUCUGGUCUAGCUUGAGGCCUACUUGCUACACUACUUACACUACUUGCUACCCUACUUAAGAAAAUUGCAGACAUAAAACUUGGAGAGUAAAACAGCGAGAGACAUAACAUGUUUAAAUAUUUAUAUAUUUUAGAGACAAAAUGUCAAGCACAACUGAAUUGCUAUGUAUGUUGGACACAGACCAGUGUGUCAGAUAGAUAUCUGGGGUGGUGGACACAAUGGCUUUUAGAAAUUAGAUUUGCCGAUAUGUCAUUGAAAAUACUUAGAUAUUCAAUUUUAUUAAUAUUAUUGAAUUACAUUGGUGGAAUAGGAUUUUUAAAGCCAACACUAAAUUGCUGGUCUAUUUUAUGUCAUUAUUCUAGAGUCCAGCUAGUGUCAUCUACUAUCUUGAAAAGUUGUAGAGAGAUUUUCUUUGGAGGGGAAGGGAAGCAGAAAAAAAUGACACUUGAGGAGGUGGUGAGAAGUUUGUAAGCCUCAGGCUUUUGGUGGAGUUGGUAUCAAAGAUUCGAAAUCUAUGUAUGAAUCAAGUGCUUCUUGAAAAAUGGUUAUGGAGAUUUGGGAUUGAAGAAGAUAACUUAUGAAAACAAAUUAUAGCAUGCAAGUAUGGGGAAUAAGAAGGAAGUCAGUCCACAUUUGUCUUCUAGAUACUAGACCUUCUUUAAGAAUCUAAUGGAUGAUGAGAUUUAGAACCUUGCCACGUUGUUGGAUCGCAUUCGUGGUUUAAUUGCUUGUUUUCUUGAGCAUGAUAAAUAGUGGUGGAAGUUCAAAAGCUCCAAAAAUUUCUCAAUGAGCCAUUCUUUUCCUUGAAAGCAGAGUGUGUGGGGGUGCCUGCAUCACCUCAACUAAUAUAUGGAAUUACCUUCAUCCUCCAUUGUUACUUCUUUUAGAUGGUUAGUGGCAAAUAACAAAUUCAUAAACAUUGACCAUUUGCACAAGAGGAAUAUGAUGAUUGCAAAUGCAUGCAUUAUGAGAUGCGAAUUUAAUGCAGAGGCAUUUUCACACUGGGCUCGAGUGGGGUCGCUUGUUGGAUGCAGGGGCACACUCGGGGUGGGUGACCCAUGCGAUUUGGGGCCCACGGGGGAGGUCUCGUGUUCGAGACUCCUUGCCAGGGGUGAUUAAUGCGCAUUUCACACCGAACUCGAGUGGGGUAGCUUGUGGGAUGUGGGGACACACUCGAGGUGGGCGGCUCAUGUGAUUUGGGGGCCCACGAAGGGAAUUCGGUCGAGGUCCUAACCCAUGAGAUGUGGGGCCUGGGCUAUGAGAUAAAGGGAUUAAUUCGCUAUACUCUAACAGUUCAAGCUUUUAGAGCAAGUGGUUAAUUGUCCUGCAUCAAAUUGGUAUCAAAGCGGAAGGUCUCAUGUUCGAGACUCCUCACUGGGGGUGAUUAAUGCAGGGGCAUUUUCACACUGGGCUCGAGUGGGGUCGCCUGUUGGAUGUAGGGGCACACUCGGGGUGGGUGACCCAUGCGAUUUGGGGCCCACGGGGGAGGUCUCGUGUUUGAGACUCCUUACCAAUGGUGAUUAAUGCGCAUUUCACACCGGGCUCGAGUGGGGUAGCCCGUGGGAUGCGGGGAAACACUCGGGGUGGGGGACCCAUAUGAUUUGAGACCCACGAAUGGGGUUCGGCCGAGGUCCUAACCCAUGAGAUGUGGGGUCUGGGUUAUGAGAUAAAGGGAUUAAUUCGCCAUACUCUAACAGUUCGAGCUUUUAGAGCAAGUUGUUAAUUGUCCUGCAUCAGAAUUGUGUGUAAUAGGGUGUUGUAUGCAUCCCGUCUAGUGAUGACAUGCCCCCCAAUGACAAAGCGCCAUGUUUUUGUGUUAAAUGUGGGAUUCACAUUAAAAAGUAACACUUGCAUGAAAUGACGAUUUUGCCUUUUCCAUUGUGGGUCCUAUGCGUAACACACUCACCUAAUGCUUUGUCAUUGGGGGCACGCCAUGUGCCUUAAGGGCGCAGAAUUAAUAAACCAUCUAUCUCAGUUCAUUGUGCGGUUGCUUCAGUAGUAUGGACUAAGGUUCUGGUUGGCAGCCCCAUUCACAUGUGAAGUGGGUUAUGCUAGGUGAUUUACCCUGCUGCAGCCUGCAUGCAAUCUAUAUCCUACAUUAUGUACCUUUAAGGUUCAGAAUCAAUUAACCAUCUAUCUGUUUAGUUCAUUCUGAGGUUGCUUCAGUAACGUGGACUAAGGUUCUGGUCCGUCCUAUUCAAUGUGAAGUGGGUUAUGCUAGGUGAUGCAGACAUUGUGGCAUUGGCCCAUGUGACUAGACAUGAUCACGUAACGGGCGGGCUCCACUGCAUUGUAUACACUAGCUGGUGUUGACAUUAGAAUUUUGCCUAAGGUCAAUCUGUGGUAACCAUCAUUGGUUAGUGCAGGGCGUUUGACGCUCAUCUACAAGCUAGUGUGGGACUAGGUUACAAACUAACUAAGGUCAGUGCAAGACCAUUUAUGGCAUUCCACGCGAAUGGUUAGGGUAGGGCCAGUGCAGGUCCAUUAUUCACUCACUCUGCUCACUAUUUAAGGACAACACAAAACGCCUUUGGCACAUUCUACGACAAUGGUUAAGGCUUAACGUGAGUCCUCUGGCAUCCACUCUGCCCACAUUAUCCAAGGGUAGCAUGGAAUGGUAGUGGAUAGUUUCCAAGGCACCAAAAGUGUAGUUUGCGCUCACUGUUUAAGGACAGCGUGAAACCUAUGUAGGCCGAACCACACCAACUGUUUGUGAUCAGUGUGGUACCAAUUUCCUUGACAGGAGUUCACUCCAUGCCAACGGCCAAGGCUAGUGUUGGAUUACAUUUUGCACCUAUGCGUGCUAACGGAAAGUACUUCAAGUCGUCCAAUGGCAGCUUGACACGUGUUAAUAAUUGCCU